rnacentral:rRNA from 1 species
AUUGAACGCUGGCGGCAGGCUUAACACAUGCAAGUCGAGCGCCCCGCAAGGGGAGCGGCAGACGGGUGAGUAACGCGUGGGAAUCUACCCAUCACUACGGAACAACUCCGGGAAACUGGAGCUAAUACCGUAUACGUCCUUCGGGAGAAAGAUUUAUCGGUGAUGGAGGAGCCCGCGUUCGAUUAGCUAGCUGGUGGGGUAAUGGCCCAACAAGGCGACGAUCCAUAGCUGGUCUGAGAGGAUGAUCAGCCACACUGGGACUGAGACACGGCCCAGAGUCCUACGGGAGGCAGCAGUGGGGAAUAUUGGAGAAUGGGCGCAAGCCUGAUCCAGCCAUGCCGCGUGAGUGAUGAAGGCCCUAGGGUUGUAAAGCUCUUUCACCGGUGAAGAUAAUGACGGUAACCGGAGAAGAAGACCCGGCUAACUUCGUGCCAGCAGCCGCCGCCG